CGUUGCUGCUAGAGGUCGGGCUGGGCCGGCGGCCUGCUCCGGUAAAAGCCACGAUGGCCCAGAUCUGCCUGAUUCAUUCAUUCUGUUAGCCAGCCAGAUGGCGAACCCAGCGCAUUUGUCGAAUAUCGGUCAAAAUUUGAAGAAUUCGGUGAGAAUACGGCCGAAAUUCGGGGAAAAAUUGAUUUUUUUUAAUUUGAAUUCAAAUUCGACCGAUAUGCGUCGGUUUUCGGAUCGAUAUUUGCGCUUUUUGUUCGCAUUUGUAAACCCUGGAUGGGCAACAAGUUCUGCAAUUCCUCACCAUUGAUGAUUUUUAGAAAGGUCUGAGGGGGGUGAUCGACAAAUAGUGGAUUUUGACCUUUCCCCUUUCUCCAGAGGAGUUUGAAUUUGCCCCAGCCCCGACGUGGGAAGCUGUUCAUCCAUGGAGGGAGGACUGCUUGCUCGUUCCUACAAUCGGCGCCAGUAGCCACUCCUCCGGCAAUCGCUUCUCGUCACCUCAACUCCCGGUCCUAGUUUGGCUUGUUCCUUCCGUCGGCGAAUGCUGACUGCAUCACUGCUUCUCAGGGAAGUAGGCACGCAACAAAUUCACCUUUGUCGGGGUGAUAUAGCCAGGCAGAAUUUGCAAUUUAGGGAUCUUCGUAGAUAUAGAACCUGAAGCAGGUCGCACUCUCCAACUGUUCCUAGCAGAUCUUCACCGUGCACACCGCUGUUGUGCACUUCAUGCCUACCAUCUUCUGAGAUGGGAAUACUAUCAUUUGCCACUGCACUAACUAGUCAGUCACCACUCCACACCCAGUCGAUUAGCAGCAUCUUCUCCUAUCCUCACUGCAGCAAGCAAGACACAAUCAUACAGCGGGAAAUACUCAUGGUAAGCAAGACACAAUGAGAUACAUGGUAAGCAAAAAUCUUGCCAAAUUGUAAACCAACUAAUACUCAUUGUCUUUCCCGUAAGCUCUAACAUCAUCCUUUGUUCCUUUGCC